UCCUCCUAUAUGGUUGAUUGCUCGCAGUUUUCAGCUAAGAAGGUGGUUUUUCCCGUCUGGCUGCAGGGUGGAGAGAAGUGGAGAGGGGAAGCCGCCCCCGGGAGCACUCAGUCCAAUUUACACACUGGUGCAGGAAUGAGUCCGGGUCCUUCGUGGGCGGGGGCCUAGAUGACCGCAAAAGCCCCUUCGCCGGGCCUACCCGCUCCUGGCCCACGGUUGCUAGGCUACGCCGGCGUCCGGAGCUGGGCGCGGGGGCGAGCCUGUCCCGCGAGGCUGUACGCGGCCUCUGCCCUGCCCAGCGGGCUCCGCCUCACCUUGGAACUUCUGCUCCCCCGCUCUGUGACCCUCCCGGGCCAGGUAGCCCCAACCCCGGACCUCCCAGCCGCCAGAUGGCAACGCCUCGGGGUGCCCCGCCCCGCUUCUUUCGCUUUCUUCCGGACGUCCUGGUGGAUAACAUCCCCCAGAAGGGAGAGAGACCGAGCCAGGGAAGCAUCAGCAGGUGUGGUACUGGGGCUUGAGCUCAGCUUCUGUGUGAGCAGCAGUCCCCUGGGAGCGCGGGCGCCAUGCGGAGGUAGCAUGUUCCCUGCGCUGAAGACCGAGCUGCAGCAGCCGCUGCCCGACCCCUACGAGGACUUCAUGCGCCGUCACCUGCAGUACUACGGCUACUUCCGAGUGCAGAGUGGGCGCCCGCCCAGCCCCGUCCCCCCGCCGCCCGGCCCCAAGAGCGGCCGCCCCCGGGAGCGGGAGCCUGUGACCCGCGCCGCCCUGCCCAAGGAGACGCCGCAGGGUCGGCGGUCGCUGAGCCCCGCGCGGGUCAGGAGCAGACAGCUUCUCUACGACGAGCCCGACAGCGCCACCCCGCGGCUGCGAGAGCCCCGCGAGCUCUUCCCGGUGCUCUCAGGCAGGGGACCCCUGCAGGCUCCGCGCUGGCCGGUGGAGUGCGAGGUCAUCAGGGAGAGGGUGCAGCACAUCGAGUGGGUCCCACCAGAACCAGAAUAUUUCUAUCAGUCAACAGGAAAUGAAAAGGUCCCGGAAAUUAUGGGCGAAGAGAAAGGAACAGUUGUCUACCAGUUACAGUCAGUGCCCACCGAAGGCUCCUACUUCACCAGCUCGCGGGUGGGCGGCAAGCGCGGGUCGGUCCAGCAGCUCGCCGUGUCCCUGCACGGUCCGGAGGACGACACCCUGCUCUUCGAGUCGAGGUUUGAGAGUGGCAACCUGCAGAAAGCCGUCAAAGUGGCCGCCUACGAGUACGAGCUCACCCUGCGGCCCGACCUCUACACAGACCGCCACACGCAGUGGUUCUACUUCCGCGUGCAGAACACCCGCAAGGACGUGCGCUACCGCUUCACCAUCGUCAACCUGCGCAAGCCCCGCAGCUUGUUUGCCGUGGGGCUGCGGCCGCUGCUCUACUCGCAGCGCGACGCCUGCAGCAGCCGGGUCGGGUGGCGCCGGGAGGGCGGUGACAUCCGCUACUUCCGGGGCGGCACCGGCAGCUACUGCCUCACGUGGACGGCGCGCUUCCCGCACGACCGCGACACGUGCUUCUGGGCGCCCGGCUACCCCUACACCUUCUCCGACCUGACUCGCUACCUGCGGGCCGCCGCGCGCGACCCGGCCCGGGCCCGCGUGUGCAGGCUGCGCGCGCUGUGCUGCAGCCUGGCCGGCAACCCCGUGUACCUGCUCACGGUCACCAACCCCGCGCGCGGCCCGCAGGCCGCCGCCGCCAAGAGGGCCGUGGUGCUGAGCGCGCGCGUGCACCCCGGGGAGAGCGCCGGCUCGUGGGUGAUGCGCGGCUUCCUGGACUUCAUCCUUGGCAGCUCCCCCGACGCGCAGCUCCUCCGCGACCUCUUCGUCUUCAAAGUGGUCCCCAUGCUGAACCCUGACGGCGUGAUCGUGGGCAACCACCGCUGCUCGCUGUCCGGGCGGGACCUGAACCGCCACUACCGGACCCUCCUGAAGGACGCCUUCCCGUGCAUCUGGUACACCAGGAACAUGGUCCAAAGACUCCUGGAAGAAAGAGAGGUUCUCCUGUAUUGCGAUUUCCACGGCCACAGCCGCAAGAACAACGUCUUCCUGUACGGUUGCAGCAGCAACAGCCGCAGGCACUGGCUGCACGAGCGGGUCUUCCCGCUCAUGCUAAGCAAGAACGCCCCGGAGAAGUUCUCGUUUCAGAGCUGUAACUUUAAAGUCCAGAAGAACAGAGAAGGCACGGGCCGUGUGGUGAUGUGGCGCAUGGGGAUCCGAAACAGCUACACCCUGGAGUCCACCUUCGGGGGGUCCACACUGGGCAGUAGGAGAGACACUCACCUCACCACCGAGGACCUCAAGGCUCUGGGUCACCACAUCUGUGAUACCCUCCUGGACUUCUGUGAUCCUGACCAAACCAAGUUCAUUCAGUGUCUAGCAGAGCUUACGGAGCUGGUACACCAGGAAAUCCACAGGAAACUCAGUGAGCUUGGACAAGAUGUGAACUUAGAAGAAAACUGGAGUGACAUCCAUUUGUCUGACAUUGAAUCCAGCACCAGCGGUUCCGACAGCUCCCUCUCAGAUGGACUCCCUGCUCACCUACUGCACAGGGCAGAGGAGGUGAGUCAGAAGAUAAAGAUGUUUCAGAAGAAGAAAAAGAAGCCACUGCAGACCAGAAAACAGCGAAAUGAACAGUAUCAGAACAGUAACUCGAAGCGCUUUGGCCGGGGUCUCGCUGGGGGACCCCUUGAAGGACGGGCGAGUUUUGCCACCACCCUGCAGAAGCAGCCGGCCUUUCUUAAACAGCUGGAGAAUCCUGGCCCUGCAGCGGUAACACAGGAGAAAGUGAGACGCCAACAGGUAGUGGGCGUCACUGUCACACGGUGUUUGAUUUCGCUCCUGCCCAGGGGGAGAAGUGCGGGCCAGGUGCUCCGGGGUGAGGCGUCCACACGUCCUUGGGCAAUGCCAGUGCUUUGUGGCUUCCUGCGGUGCAGAGAGAGGCCGCAUCCUGCCGCCCCGCCACCCGCAGGCCUCAUAUACCAGUGACACGACAAGCCCUUUCCUGGUGCUGGGGAUGAAACAACCCUGUCUCGGGCCUGGGGUUUCCAGGGGCACUGGGGAGCGAGCAGGGAUUUCCAUUGCAGGAAAUGGUUGGCCCUUCAGAGUUGUGUGGCUGUAAAUCCUUGAUUCUUUUAUGUAUAAAGAUAGCUUUGGAGCUGGGAGUGGCAGCGCACACUGAGGCAGGAAGAUGCUAAGUUUGAGCCCAGUCUGAGGAACUUAUUGAGACCCUGUCUCAAGGUUUAAAAUAAUAAGGGGAUUGGGCCGGGGAUUUAGCUCAGUGGUUCCGCCACCUGCCUCGCAAGCACAAGGACCUGAGUUGGAUCCCUGGUACCAAAAAAAAAGGGGGGUGAUGGGGACGUAGCUCAUUGAGAAGGCCCUGGGUUCAGUGCCGGGGACUGAUGGGACUGAAGGUCCCUUGCGCAGUGCCAGGUACACGGGCACGGCCCCAUCCUUCCAGCUGGGGCACAGGCUCCAGAGUGGGCCUUGAGUUCUGCUCCAGCCCUGCUGCGGAUACAGGGCACCAUCCCUAACCCACUGAGCUCCAGAAUCUAAACUUGUGGAGGACCGGUGUCACAGCCCGGUGAAAAGUUCCAAGCCGGGAAACUUGUUUUAUGCACAAAAUUGUCAGAAAUAUUGUUUAGAAUCAGCAUUAGGCUAAGCGCAGGAGGCUACGAAGCCCAAGUGGGUUUCCUUGUCUAGAUGUGUGUUGCAUCCCCCAGCUUUCUCACCAUGUAUGGUGCAUUACAAACCCGGUCUUCCAAACCUGGGAAAACACUGGGCAUGGCAGCGCACACCUGUGAGCCUAGCAUUCAGGAGGCUGAGGCAGGAGGAUUGCCUCGAGUUUGAGGCCAGCUGGGAAGACUUAGUGAGACCCUGCCUCAAACAAAGAAAACAACAGUGGGAAAAAUGUACUCUGACACACUUGUGUUGCAGUAUUUCUGCUCAGUUGGUUUUCUGUGAGUUACUUUAGCAGCCCAGGACUCAGUUUCUGAAUCUGAAAUAUGCACCCUAAAGGUCGUGUGAGCAUUAGAUUUGAAGCUGAAAAGUCCCUGCAGAUGGGCACUGAUAAACAUUAGCCCUUUUGCCUGCUUUCACUGGACACAAAGACACAGUUAAGUGGAAGAGGCCGAGACGCUGCCCCGGCCCAGCCAGCACCUCCCCUGAUCAGGCCAAAGGACAAGGAGAGGGUGCAGCAGGUACAGCAUCUCACGGCUAUGCCAACAGUUAAUGCUGUAGUCUCAGCAUUCAGGAGGCUGAGACAGGAGGAUCACUGCAAGUUUGAAGCCAG